UACGGGGGGGGCAAGCGUUGUUCGGAAUUACUGGGCGUAAAGGGUUCGUAGGUGGCCAACUAAGUCAGAUGUGAAAUCCCUCAGCUUAACUGGGGAACUGCGUCUGAUACUGGUUGGCUUGAGUGCAGGAGAGGAACGCGGAAUUCCACGUGUAGCGGUGAAAUGCGUAGAGAUGUGGAGGAACACCGAUGGCGAAGGCAGCCUCCUGGGCGAAUACUGACGCUCAUGCACGAAAGCGUGGGGAGCAAACAGG
rnacentral:rRNA from 1 species